ncrna:Vibrio cholerae 1587 gltS RNA
UGUCACUAAGGAUUGUCUUUCUCACAAUAUAUUUCCUGUGAGAGACGGAAAGGACGCAGAUCUGCUCCCUAAGCAGAUUUCACUCAAAACAAAAAAGGACAGG